GGGCUGCCUAGGAACAGCUGUACAUUGUUGGAAAUCCAGGGCAGGGCCAGCCCCACAGCAUGUGGGGGUUAUUUGCUUCAUUAGCACUGUCAGGCCUUGUUCAGGCCAGCCUGGGGGCUUGAUAGCUACCCUAAGUUCUGGGAACUGGGCUGACCCUGAUAAGGAUGCCUGAUGGCUGCAGAUGUCACCUCACUGUACAGUGUGGUGGCAGGGGUAGGGUGUGGGCAAAAAGAGAGGAUUUGGUGCGCUCCUGUGUGGAACUAGGAGCUGGACUUAAGCAUCCUUUUGGGUCCCUUCUAGCAUGGGAUAUUCUGUGAUUAUUUAGACAUCUAUGCAGAACUGAAACUGAAGUGAUUCCUACUGUAUUACAUACAGUCAUCACAAACUUGUACAGCUUAUUAUUUGAAUUCACUUUGUUUUGUUUUCACUGGAGCGGAACGUCCAGAGUUUUGUUCCAAGAUACUUCUGCCAGCUGGUCACAGUCAAGAUGCAUGAUCUAUCAUGACUGAAAGGUCUUCACCUGUAACAAAAGGAUGUAACGUUCAGAAAAAAUGUGUGAGAUAUGCUGCUCCUUGCUGUUGCUGUUUUGCAAGCCAGGCUAUGGCACCUGUCACAACACUGUUGUCCCAUGCCAGAGGGGACCCUAACAUAUAUCCAGAUCUGAUCAUCAUGCAAUGACUGCUGCUGAUGCAGCUGGAAGCAUCUGUUUGAGGAACUACUCCUAAAAGAUCAAAAGGUGAGUCCUGGCCUUGUUUUCAGCUUGAAAAUGUCUUUUCUUAUGAAACAAAUAGUGG
rnacentral:lncRNA from 1 species